UUUCACUGUAAUGUCUACUACACCUGUUGUAUUCAGCAUUUCACUGUAAGGUCUACUACACCUGUUGUAUUCAGCAUUUCACUGUAAGGUCUACUACACCUGUUGUAUUCAGCAUUUCACUGUAAGGUCUACUACACCUGUUGUAUUCAGCAUUUCACUGUAAGGUCUACUACACCUGUUGUAAUUCAGCAUUUCACUGUAAGGUCUACUACACCUGUUGUAUUCAGCAUUUCACUGUAAGGUCUACUACACCUGUUGUAUUCAGCAUUUCACUGUAAGGUCUACUACACCUGUUGUAUUCAGCAUUUCACUGUAAGGUCUACUACACCUGUUGUAUUCAGCAUUUCACUGUAAGGUCUACUACACCUGUUGUAAUUCAGCAUUUCACUGUAAGGUCUACUACACCUGUUGUAUUCAGCAUUUCACUGUAAUGUCUACUACACCUGUUGUAUUCAGCAUUUCACUGUAAGGUCUACUACACCUGUUGUAUUCAGCAUUUCACUGUGAGGUCUACUACACCUGUUGUAUUCAGCAUUUCACUGUAAGGUCUACUACACCUGUUGUAUUCAGCAUUUCACUGUAAGGUCUACUACACCUGUUGUAUUCAGCAUGUCACUGUAAGGUCUACUACACCUGUUGUAUUCAGCAUUUCACUGUGAGGUCUACUACACCUGUUGUAUUCAGCAUUUCACUGUAAGGUCUACUACACCUGUUGUAUUCAGCAUGUCACUGUAAGGUCUACUACACCUGUUGUAUUCAGCAUUUCACUGUAAGGUCUACUACACCUGUUGUAUUCAGCAUGUCACUGUAAGGUCUACUACACCUGUUGUAUUCAGCAUUUCACUGUAAGGUCUACUACACCUGUUGUAUUCAGCAUGUCACUGUAAGGUCUACUACACCUGUUGUAUUCAGCAUGUCACUGUAAGGUCUACUACACCUGUUGUAU